AGGUAGCACAAUCACUUGUUCUUUAAAUGAGGACUAGAAUCAAUGGCGUCACGAGGGUUCCACUGUCUCCUUUUUCUAAUCAGUGAAAUUGAUCUCCCCGUGAAGAAGCGGGGAUAAUAAUAUAAGACGAGAAGACCCCAUGGAGCUUCAAACUCAACGAAUAACUCUACAACUACUAGAUAUCUUAAGAGACCUAUCCGUUAGUUUUGGGUUGGGGUGACCACGGAGAACAACCUAACCUCCGUAAUGAAAAGAAAUCAUAAUCUAAGAGCUACACCUCUAAGAAUUAACAAAUUAACAUACAAUGAUCCAUUUUAUUGAUCAAUGAACCAAGUUACCCUGGGGAUAACAGCGCUAUCCACUUCUAGAGUCCAUAUCGCCAAGUGGGUUUACGACCUCGAUGUUGGAUCAGGGUGUCCGAGUGGUGCAGCCGCUACUAAACGUUUGUUCAACGAUUAAAACCCUACAUGAU
rnacentral:rRNA from 1 species